UAGUCCACGCCGUAAACGAUGGAUACUAGGUGUCCGGGAUAUUAACCUCCUGGGUACUACAGUUAACGCGUUAAGUAUCCCGCCUGGGGAGUACGGUCGCAAGGCUAAAACUCAAAGGAAUUGACGGGGGCCCGCACAAGCGGUGGAGUAUGUGAUUUAAUUCGAUGAUACGCGAGGAACCUUACCAGGGCUUAAAUGUAGUAUGACAGGACUAGAGAUAGUUUUUUCUUCGGACAUAUUACAAGGUGCUGCAUGGUUGUCGUCAGCUCGUGCCGUGAGGUGUCAGGUUAAGUCCUAUAACGAGCGCAACCCCUGUUGUUAGUUGCCAGCGAGUCAUGUCGGGAACUCUAACAAGACUGCCGGUGCAAACCGUAAGGAAGGUGGGAUGACGUCAAAUCAUCACGGCCCUUACGUCCUGGGCCACACACGUGCUACAAUGGUAGGUACAGAGGGCAGCCACUACGCGAGUAGAAGCGAAUCCUUAAAACCUAUCUCAGUUCGGAUCGGAGUCUGCAACUCGACU
rnacentral:rRNA from 1 species